AGUAUUUUAUAAUUAUAAAUUAAAACGUAAAUAUUUCAUAAUAAUAAACAAAUUUUACACAUUUAAAAUUUGUAUCAAAUGUUUGAUAAUUAGUUAUAUCAUCAAUCUCCAUCCUAAAUUUUCAUAACAAUUAGAAAUUCUAAUUGAAAUUCUAAUUAAAAUUCCUGAUCACUGAUUGAAGACACAUUAGUUUGUAAAUAUAAUUUUGUGAUAAAAGCAAAAAAUAAAAAUUUUUCUUUUUUUUUAUUAAUGUAAGUUAUAUGUUUUUUUGUAUAAUUUGUAGUCAAUAGUUUAGCAGAAUAUAUCAGAAUUUUCCAUCAACUUUAUUUCAUGAAUUAAAAGAGACAGCUGUAAAUGUUAAUUAUAAGAUUUUUGCUUAAGAUUCUGCCAAACCUAUUUCUGCAAAAGAUAUGUAGAACAUAUAAUACAUAGAAGAAAUUUAAAUUACAUAAAUUCAUAUAAAAUAAGUCACGUAAAUUAAAUUACACAUUUAUUAAUUUACCAAGAGGCUAAAAUUAUCAUCAUAUUUUACUCUACAUAUAUAUAUGUUUAUUUAUAUAUCAUUGAUAAUCAAGUUUAAGGAACACAUUCCGUGAAAAGUUAUAAAAAUUAUUAUAAUAUUAUAAUAUAUAAAGUUUACGUCAACUUAAUCAAUGUAAUUAUUUUUUAAAUUCAUUCCUAAUAAACACCAACUAACACAGUACAUAGGGGAGAGUUGCUGAAUGCAUACCGGUUACCUAAAGCGGUCACCUCUUCAAUAUUUUAUAGUUUUACAAUAUAAACAAUAUUUAGAGGAAAGACACCGAAUUUGAAACAGUUUCCUAAAUUGUAACCCUCUUAUUUCUUGGAAACUAAACAUCAUACCGUAUGAAUGCCGAUAAAAACAUGAUCCGCUUGGUUAAUUAAAGAAAUAAAAUACAUAUUUCAUACAUUCAUGCUGUUUUCUACUAGUCCAGGAAAAUUGGAUUAAAAAAGGACCGUUUAAAAAAAAAAUUAAUAACUUACGUUUGACUGUGCAUAAAGCACAAUUAAUAUGCGUAGAUUACGAUAGAUAUGUUUACCACUCGCAAAAAACUGGGGGUUGCAAAAUUACAGGUUGAAGUUAUGAAAAAAGUUUUUUGCUCGCGCCUAGUAAACAAAAACGGAAUCCGAAAAAGUUUCAAAUAAAAGUUGUAGGUAUUAAAUAGACAUCCAAUAAUAAAUCUGGUUCAUUAAGAUCGGUCGAUUAGUUUAUAGUUAGGUUGUAAAGUAGAAAAAAACCAUAAAAAAUGCCGUUUCUUAAAAGUUAUAAAUUGUUUAUAACUUUCUUAAAAAUUAACUCAAACAUUUGAAAUUAUAGGAAAAUAUAGCUUUUGUUACGAAAAAAGGGUACCAAAUUUCAUAAAAAAAUAUUAAUAACUUUUUGAGUAAUGUCAAUCGUUUAUCCAAAACGCGCUCCAUCAAAAUUUAAUUUCUACAUUUUUGAGACCAUGCACAAACCCGAACAAAAGUUUGUUUUCUUCUUAAAAAGUUGCAGCAUCAUAUAUCGGUAUUACGAAAUGUGUGCAAUGCAAUUAAGUGCCUCAAAUAAACGUGUAAAAAAUAAGCCUAAUUAACAAUUAAAUAACUUUUAAAAUAUUAACGCUAUCAAAAUGGGUUAAAGGCAUUUGAAUGGUGCGACUUUUCUUUAAAUUUAAAAAAAAGAACAUUGUCCUAGGUUGCUUAGAAGUCGAGAUAAUUUUUUUUCUUUGAAAAAUCACUGUUGCUACAGUUAUGAAUAUUAAGAGCUGAAAUUUAGACAGCGUCUUAUUAAAAAGUUAUAGUCUUUCCCAAAAGUUCGAAGCAAUUCAUGAAGAUUGAUCACUGUAAACGUGUUAACAAAAGCAGUUAACAAAAGCAUCAACUCGAGAGCGGCGACCGGUAGCGCCGCGUACCGCGUCGUCUGCUAGCGCGCGGUCAGACGUGCGUGUACAAAAGUGAAUUGGCGCGUUCAAAUUACUUCAAUUGUCAUUAUCUCGGGAACCAAGCGUCCUAGAAAAACGAUUUUUUAAAAUCUGGGCUAUCUCGACGAGACAAGAUUAAUGAAUUAAACUAUUUUUUUAUAUUUCCUCAAAUAAAUGUAAUAAUUUAUUUUUUUAAUUAUUUAUUUGACGCAUUAAAUACGUAUAAAUAAUUUAUUUAUCUAUGCGGCGUAUGCAUAUGCUAUGUGUUAAUACAAUUUUAUUUUUUUAUUAUUUACAUUGCAAGGAAUGUAUAUGUUUUAUAUUUUUUUCGCAUAAUUUAGUGCAAUUAACAAACAUUUAAGUUAAAAAAGAACUUAAAGUUUUAAUUAAAUUACUAUUAAUUGUACUAAAGUUCUUUUUUUUUGCACAAUUUAAACAAUAGUGAGUGUAUUAUCAAUAACAUUACCAUCAUUUCACAUGUCUGUAGUUUCGUAAAACUGCUUCUUUUUAAUUUUUUUUAAAUAUUUAUUUUAUAAUGCAGUUGUAAACAUAAAGUUGUCGUGUGUGCGUAAAUUGGAACACUCCGUGAGAUCAGAGGUCUAGUAAUGAUAAUUGUUUCUAUGCCGUGAUAAUAGUAGAGCUAACCCGUGAUUGUAACUUUAAUAUAUAACCUAUAUGUAUAAUAACUUAAAUGUUUCAAGGUGAGAUUUCACGAGAGACAAUAGACGAGUUGUCUGUUAACAAAUAUGCUUCUUAAGCGAAUCUAACAAAAUAACAUAGAGUCUAUAGAAUCACGUAAUUUAGGUUAGAUGUAUAAUUAAACAAAAUGUAACGUUAGUACUUCAAUCGUAUACGGGUUUCAAAUUAAGCGCCCAUUUCGUCAGAUGUGUCCUUUUUGACAUGUAUUACAAUAAAACAAUAAUUAUUAAAAAAAUACGAAACGAUAUUAUAAAAAUUACUAUAUUAUUUGAUAAAAAAUACUUUCUAACUUAAAUUAGUAUUUUCAAAAGUGUUUUUUUAACCAUUAUUUAAGAAAUAUAAUCCAAAAACGAAGUAGUGUUCCAAAUUCGGUGCCUUUCCUCUAUUAAUCAAAAUAUGAAGUAAAUGAGAAAUGAGUAAUGUAGACAAAAAAUUAACAGAUUAUGUGUCGUUUUACACAUGCUAGCAACAUUAAAAAAAAUUAAGUACAACUAGUGUUAACUUCCCAGCUAGCAGAAUGACGCAAACUCUGCGCAAAAUUUGCCGCAAACUCCAGCAAACCUUUGAGCAAAAUUACGACAAGUUUUACUUUGUUUUUGCUACUGAUUUGUUAUUAUUCCGUUUUAGCUAGCCAGGCCUGCUAAAAUCACAUAUCAUGAAAGCUUUACAGCAAGGAUUGUUUUAAUUUUAACAACAAUUUUAUGACAAGUAAUUGUCUUUUGCUUUUUCUUCUAAAAGUUUCGAGCCAAUUUACGACAAAAGUUUUUAUCACACGAUGCUGUAAAUAACACAGAAAGAUUUGUACUAAGUAUUACGUAAGUAUUACGUAGAGAAACAUAUAAUUUGCUCCGGCACGAUAAAAUUUACGCAAAUAACAGAGCAAACUUUGCUACACGACAUGACAAUAAAUUUCUGGCAAGAACAGAAAAAAUCUUGCUAAGCAUGGAAUAACGGCAAAUUAGUAGCAAGAAUAAGGACUUCCGUUUCCGUUUCCAGAGUAAGUUAGACGUGUGUAGUUGUAUGCAGUGAAUUGAGUGAGAUAAGCGGUAAAAGAGAGCGUCGGAGAGGGUAGGAUAGCGGGGUGUGGUUGAAGGAGAGCGCAAAGAGUGUGUGGGUGGAUAAGUGAAGUGUAGGAAGAAAGGAUAGGAGUAAAUUAGCGUAUUAAUUAGGUGAGCCGGGUAAUAACAGAAUUGAAGCAGGAGUAGGCAGAGACAAGACGGGUGUACGGGAACGUGGGGAGCAGCCACGCCGCCUAAUGACAGAGUGGGGAGGUAGAGGAUAGUUAAGGCAGAUUCAGUAGCAGCGACAAACAUGAUAGGAGGUACGGAUAGAGGUAGAAGCGACAGCUGUACUUCAAUUAAUGGUAUUAGAGGAAGUAAGAGAGUAGCUAGAUCGCCGGUGGGAGAAGAUGGAGAUGAAUGGGAUAGAAAAUUAAGAGAUUAGAAAGAGGAUAUUGUAGGAAGCUUAAAGAUAGUUAGAUUAGAGAUGAAAAAGGAGUUGAAGGAGAUUAUGGAGGAGCAGGGGAGAAAGAUGAGACAAGAAUUAGAGGCGUUAAAAAAGGAAAUUAAGGAUUUUAAGAAGAGAGAAUUUAGAUAGGAAAGAGAAAGAAAAGAGUUAUUAGAUGCGCAGGAA
rnacentral:lncRNA from 1 species